rnacentral:rRNA from 1 species
GACGAACGCUGGCGGCGUGCUUAACACAUGCAAGUCGAGCGGUAAGGCCCUUUCGGGGGUACACGAGCGGCGAACGGGUGAGUAACACGUGGGUGACCUGCCCUCAGCUCUGGGAUAAGCCCGGGAAACUGGGUCUAAUACCGGAUAUGACUCCAUGACGCAUGUUGUGGGGUGGAAAGCCUUGUGCGGCUGAGGAUGGGCCCGCGGCCUAUCAGCUUGUUGGUGGGGUGAUGGCCACCAAGGCGACGACGGGUAGCCGGCCUGAGAGGGCGACCGGCCACACUGGGACUGAGAUACGGCCCAGACUCCUACGGGAGGCAGCAGUGGGGAAUCUUGCGCAAUGGGCGAAAGCCUGACGCAGCGACGCCGCGUGAGGGAUGACGGCCUGG